rnacentral:rRNA from 1 species
UACGGAGGGUGCGAGCGUUGUCCGGAAUCAUUGGGCGUAAAGAGCGUGUAGGCGGCCCGAUAAGUCCGCUGUGAAAGUCCAGGGCUCAACCCUGGGAUGCCGGUGGAUACUGUCGGGCUCGAGUCCGGAAGAGGAGUGUGGAAUUCCUGGUGUAGCGGUGAAAUGCGCAGAUAUCAGGAGGAACACCAAUGGCGAAGGCAGCACUCUGGGACGUGACUGACGCUGAGACGCGAAAGCGUGGGGAGCAAACAGG